rnacentral:rRNA from 1 species
GAUUAUGGCUCAGGAUGAACGCUAGCUACAGGCUUAACACAUGCAAGUCGAGGGGCAGCAUGGUCUUAGCUUGCUAAGACUGAUGGCGACCGGCGCACGGGUGAGUAACGCGUAUCCAACCUGGCCCUUAGUAGGGAACAGCCCGGCGAAAGUCGGAUUAAUGCCCUAUGUUUUCCAAUGAUGGCAUCUGACUUGGAACAAAGAUUCAUCGCUAAGGGAUGGGGAUGCGUCUGAUUAGCUUGUCGGCGGGGUAACGGCCCACCGAGGCGACGAUCAGUAGGGGUUCUGAGAGGAAGGUCCCCCACAUUGGUACUGAGACACGGACCAAACUCCUACGGGAGGCAGCAGUGAGGAAUAUUGGUCAAUGGGCGUAAGCCUGAACCAGCCAAGUAGCGUGCAGGAAGACUGCCCUAUGGGUUGUAAACUGCUUUUAUGCGGGGAUAAAGUGAGGGACGUGUCCCUUUUUGUAGGUACCGCAUGAAUAAGGACCGGCUAAUUCCGUGCCAGCCGCCGC